rnacentral:misc_RNA from 1 species
GCAACGAUCCAGCAACGACCCGACGGCAUCGCGGCUGAUCGCGAGGAUCAGGGUGACACAAAAAAACACGGACGUGCGUCAUCGUUCCUUUCUGAGAACUAGACGCCGGGCUCGGUCGAGCGUGCGAUUCGACCACACGAUCGAAGGAUGCUGGCCCGCUGCCUAAUUUUCGCAGGUGCAGCUGCUGUAGUAACGUCCGCGGGCGGGCACGGCUUUGACGCGCACCUACGCGGCCCCAGCUUCGUGCUGGAACCGCCAUCGAGGAUUGAAUUCUCGAAUUCUAGCGGCGCCUGGUUGGACUGCACGGCCUCCGGAAGUCCGCCGCCCAACAUCGAUUGGUCUACCGCGGAUGGACAUCCGGUGAACGAUGUAUCAGGAGUGCGGAGGGUACUCAGAAACGGCACCCUGGUGCUCCUGCCGUUUCCGGCAGCGGCCUACCGGCAAGAUGUUCAUAGCGCUGCGUACAGAUGCGUGGCGAGCAACACCGUCGGGAGAGUGCUCAGUCGUGACGUACAAGUCAGAGCAGUGGUGGCUCAAGCAUACAAAGUCGACGUGGAGGUGACAGGGGGUGCAUCGAGGGGAUGCACCGCGAUAUUACGCUGCAUCAUACCCAGCUACGUCAAAGAUUUGGUGCGCGUUGUAUCCUGGCUGCACGAGCCUUCAUCCUACAUAUAUCCCUCACUACAAGGAGAUGGCAAGUUCCACCUGCUUCCCACGGGAGAGCUUCUGGUACACAGCCUAGAGUUCAGCGACCAGCUGAACGGCUACAGAUGCCGCACGAUGCACCGUCUCACGAGACAAGUGGUCGUUAGUUCUAUGGCCAACAUUAGAAUAGCAGAUCACAGAGGCGUAAUGCCUCCCGUGAUACUCGAAAACUCCGGCGUCGUUCAUGUCGCCCAGGACGAAUCGACGUCGUUAGUCUGCGUGGCGCAAGCUUGUCCUUCGCCUGAAUACCGGUGGUUCGCGCAAACAGGAGCGGAGCUAAUGUUGGUACUCUCCGGACCCAGAACCAGACUUCUUGGUUCUGUGCUGGCCAUCGAGGCGGUAACGUUAGAGGACAGCGGUGUGUACCGUUGCACCGCUUCUAACCCUGGUGGCGAAACGAGCGCUGAUAUCAGGUUAAUCGUGACAGCGCCUCUUCACGUGGAAGUGACGCCCCCGUUGCUCAGCGUUCACUUGGGAGGUAAUGCCGAGUUCAGAUGUGAAGUUGGAACGCAUCCGCAGGCCGGACCGCACUUUAUCACAUGGUAUAAGGAUGGCCGGCAACUUCCAGGGACAGGAAGACAAUCGGAAUUAUUGAAGCUCAACGGAAUCGGAAGGGAGGAUCGCGGCAUGUAUCAGUGCAUUGUGAGAAGGUCGGAAGGGGAUACAGCUCAAGCAUCGGCGGAACUUCAACUAGGCGACGCGCCGCCCGUGCUUCUGUACUCGUUCAUCGAGCAAACUCUCCAGCCAGGACCCGCCGUGUCCUUAAAAUGUUCCGCCGCAGGAAAUCCUACACCUCAGGUAUCAUGGGCGUUGGACGGUUUUCCCUUACCGACUAAUGGAAGGUUCGUCAUUGGUCAAUACGUAACGGUGCACGGUGACGUCAUAUCCCACGUCAAUAUAAGCCAUGUCAUGGUGGAGGACGGAGGUGAAUAUUCCUGCACUGCCGAAAAUCGCGCGGGAAAGGUGACACAUGCUGCACGAUUGAAUGUUUAUGGGCUUCCCUACAUACGCCUGAUUCCGAAAGUGACCGCCGUUGCCGGGGAGACUCUCCGUUUAAAGUGCCCGGUGGCUGGAUAUCCGAUCGAAGAGAUCAAGUGGGAGAGAGCCAAUCGCGAACUACUGGACGAUCUGCGUCAGAAGGUGCUUCCGGAUGGUACUCUGAUGAUCAGCAGCGUACAGAAGAAGGGCGAUGCCGGGGUGUACACUUGCUGGGCGAGGAACAAGCAAGGUCACAGCGCCAGGAGAUCCGGAGAUGUCGCAGUGAUCGUUCCCCCCAAAAUUAGCCCGUUCACGGCAGAUCGCGACCUGCACCUCGGCGAACGCACCACCCUGACAUGUUCGGUGACCAGAGGCGAUCUGCCGCUGUCCAUCACUUGGCUCAAGGAUGGACGCUCAAUGGGGCCGUCGGAGCGUGUCACUGUCACCAAUAUGGACCAGUACAAUAGCAUACUGAUGAUUGAAAGUUUAUCUCCAGAUCACAACGGCAACUACUCGUGCGUGGCCCGUAACGUGGCCGCAGAGGUAUCGCACACGCAGCGGCUUGUGGUUCAUGUGCCGCCCAGAUGGAUCGUCGAGCCAACUGACGUGAGCGUCGAGAGGAAUCGCCACGUCGCGCUGCACUGCCAGGCGCAGGGCGUCCCGACGCCGAUGAUCGUAUGGAAAAAAGCCACCGGAAGCAAAGCCGGUGAUUACGAGGAGUUGCGUGAAAGAACAUAUACCAAGAUUCUCAGUAACGGUACUCUGUUGCUGCAGCACGUGAAAGAAGAUCGGGAGGGCUUCUACCUGUGUCACGCGAGUAAUGGCAUAGGAAGCGGAUUAGGCAAAGUCGUGCAACUAAAGGUCAAUUCAUCCCCGUAUUUUGCGGCGCCGUCGCGACUUGUUACCGUAAAGAAAGGGGAUACAGCGACGUUACACUGCGAAGUACACGGGGAUAAGCCGGUUACUGUUACCUGGCUGAAAGGCGGUAAAAGCGAGCUGAAUCCCUCAACGAAUUACCGCGUCGCGGUGAAACAGGAAGUAACGCCAGACGGUGUCAUCGCGCAACUGCAAAUCUCAUCGGCGGAAGCCGUCGACAGCGGUGCGUACUUUUGCCAAGCGAACAAUCUUUACGGUCGUGAUCAGCAGCUGGUGCAACUCCUCGUUCAAGAGCCACCCCAACCACCGAGCGCCCUAGAAACUGCCAUGGUGGCGAGUCGCAGCAUUAACGUUAAGUGGCAACAUAAGUCACAGGACACCAGCGAGGUCAACAAGUACAUUGUCCAAUACAAAGAGGGCGAAGGUGGAAUGUGGCAGCAACAAGAGUACGCCGGACCACCCUUGGUAUACGCGGCAUUGAUCGAUAAAUUAAAACCCGCCACGAGAUACACCAUACGUGUAAUAGCGGAAGGUCCAGCGGGCCGAUCUGUUCCCUCGGCGGAGCUCAUCAUUAGAACCGAACCGCAGAAACCAGCUGGUCCGCCGAUGAACAUCGCGGCUAGGCCUCUCUCCUCAUCCGAAAUUCUCGUCACUUGGUCACCACCACUACCGGAACUUCGUCAUGGUGACAUACAAGGUUUCAACGUCGGCUAUAAAGAAACAAGCUCGAAUAAUCCAGCGUACAACUUCAGCUCUGUCUCAGGUGAUGGAGAAGAAGGCGGUGGAGAACUUCGACUUACAGGUCUCAGGCCGUACACCAGAUACACCCUCGUUGUUAGAGCUUACAAUCAGGUUGGACCAGGACCUCUAUGCGAACCGUUGAUCACGCAGACCUUGGAAGACGUACCCAGUAUGCCACCGGAUGAUGUGAGAUGUGCUGCACUCACGUCACAGUCUUUGCAAGUAUCCUGGCAACCCCCGCCUAAUUCACACAGCAAUGGCAUUAUCCAAGGUUACAAAUUGAAUUAUGAACCGAUUUUGGCAGACGCGUGGCGAGGGGUGGACGAAAUGGAGGUCCGUAAAACGAGCGCUCUGACAACAGUUUUAACUGGACUCAGACGAUACACUAAUUACACUAUCCAAGUUUUGGCUUAUACCAGAAUUGGCGACGGUGUGCCCUCUGCAACGAUUUAUUGCCAGACGGAGGAAGACGUACCGGGCAGUCCGGCUGAUAUCAAGGUCGUCGUAAGUUCGCCGCAAGCUCUCUUCAUCUCAUGGCUACCACCACUCGAACCAAAUGGAAUUAUUACGAAAUACAAUCUUUAUACAAGAGUCGUCGACGGACGAGAGGAGCUCAAUCAUGGCAAGAAGACGUUACCGGCGACGAGCACAUUUUUCGAGGCGACCGACCUGCAACAACACGUCGAAUAUCAAUUCUGGGUGACUGGUAGCACCCGGAUGGGCGAAGGUCAGAGUUCGAGGGUAACGGCGCAAGUGCCGACAAAUCGAGUGCCAGCCAGGAUCACGUCCUUCGGCGGGCAUGUGGUGCGUCCGUGGCGUGGUUCAGCGACACUGGCGUGCAACGCGGUCGGAGAUCCGACGAGAGACUGGUACAAGGGUACCACGGAACAGAUACGCACCGAUCCCACCAGAAACGUGCAGAUCUUGGCAAACGGGGAACUCGUAUUAUCAAAUCUGCAGUCGCAAGACAGCGGGAAUUAUACCUGUCAAGUGGAGAACUCCCAAGGCAGCGAUAAACUGCAUUACACUCUCACGGUGCAAGUUCCGCCCAGUGCUCCUGUAUUGUACGUAACCAGCUCUACGUCGAGCAGCGUGUUAUUGCAUUGGAAAUCCGAGCAUAACGGUGGUGCGCCUUUGACGGGCUAUACACUGUAUUAUCGAACUACUCAUGGUACCCUUGAUGAGUUACAGUUAUCUCGCCACGCUACUAGCCAUGAACUAAAGGGGCUUCUGUGCGGCAAUACGUAUCAGUUGUAUCUAACGUCGCACAAUAAAAUCGGCAGCAGUCCAUCGUCUCCGGUGCUCUCAGUUCGAACUCAGGGACAAGCUCCGGGAAUCCCGCCGGCGGCUGCCUUUCUCAGUCCGAAUUCCACUACUCUGGUGCUACGAUUGCACGUCUGGCCCGAUAACGGUUGCCCCAUAAAGUAUUUUGUCAUUCAGUAUAGGCCGAUAAACGAGUUUCACUGGACCCUGGUAUCGAAUAACGUUAAAAUGCAACGGCGAUUCGUCGUGACAAAUCUAACACCCAGCUCAGUCUAUCAGCUUAAAGUCGAGGCCCAUAACGUGGCCGGCAGCAAUCAAGCAGAGUUCACCUUUGUAACCUUGACGAAAGAGGGUGAAAUACCGCCGCCAGGAUUGUCGAAACGUGGGAUGACAUCGACCAUGCCGUUUUAUGCGGAUGUUAAAGUAAUGCUGCCGUUGAUCGUGGCUACUGUUGCAUUAGUCGCCGCAACGAUAAUCGUUGCCUUUCGCUGGAAAAACAGAUACUUGGGGGGUCAAAUGCAACGGCCGAUGAAGGAGUCACAAGAGAAUCAACAAAACGCAGAGACGCAACGAGAGCGUUAUUAUGCCACGAUACAUAAAGUGGCUUUGCAACAAGCGGCGAAUACGGGUGCAGGGCCCGACAAGAUUCCAGGUGAACCUUUGUUACGAUAUGGACAACCACCAGGUUUGGUACUAUAAUUACUGUUGUGCAGGUACGAGCCGGGCGCUUUUAGCGCCGCUCAACAGUGACACAAGGCUACUUCUAAAAAAAGACAGCGGAGGACAUUUCGCCGUACGCUACGUUCCAGCUUUCGGAGGGUGGCGGGGGAAGCCUGG